UUUUGUGAUAUCCUGUUAUUUACGUUACGUUGAUGGUUUCCAUGUAAUAUCUAUCGUCGGCUGUUGCAGUGGCACAGUACGCGGAGACAAGAUCCAUCCGUCCAGAGCAUUCGGAAUUAAGACAACCCGAGCGUAUUAUGGAUUAUUCUGGUCCAUUCAUCGUUUUACUGUCUCCGAACCCGUUUUGCUUAAAAAGGCCGAAGCCCAGACACGGCGUCAUUCACGAGGGUAUGGUUAUUAUUAACAUGAGAUACAAAAAUAUAAGUCCGUAUUCUGAUUACAGCCUCUCGCGAGGUCAUCCUCCUUAUUAUUACUGUCAUUAAAUGUAUUUUGUUUUUAUUUUAUUUUGUCCGAAUUUUACGCCAGAAUAAGCUUUCUCGGCACAAAUUUAAUAAAAUAAAAUUUUUUAACUAUUUCUUUAA